rfam:Schistosoma mansoni strain Puerto Rico chromosome 1, complete genome
AUCCAACUGACGAGUCCCGAAUAGGACGAAACGCGCAUCCUGGAU